ensembl:miRNA gga-mir-6577 gga-mir-6577
GGGCAUCCCCAAACUCCUGGCAUCUUCUACUCUGUUUUCUUCUGUGUUCAAUACACAUGCAGAAGAGACUGGGUAUAGGAGGGUGGAGAUCUGGGAAACUCCUUUUCC